UUUGAGUUCCUGUUCUGACUUCCUGCAAUGAUGGACUAUGAUCUGGAAAUGUGACGCUAAGUGGUGUCAAGUUGACAACUGAAGAAAACUAACCAGAUUAAGACACUAAAAGUAUGUGAGGAAAUGGGAUGACAAUUCAAAAUACCUGCCCAAGUCCAGGUCAGAGAAAAGGUAUAAAAUACUGCCUCCCCAGGAAUAUGUUCCCGAGACAGCUACUGGUGGAUUGUCAUUCCUAAAGCUACAAAAUGUCCUGGGCCUUAGGAUUGAGAAACACGAUGACAGAGACCGGUGACAACAGUGACCGUGUGGCAGAGCUGCAGGAAGGAGCCAGGGAACUGUUUGCUUCUCUGCCUGAAGUGGUGUCCGUCCCCAAAGGAGAACCAGGCCACCUUUGCUACCCCUGUCCCCCCCAGUUCAUCCACCUCUAGGGGGUGAUUUCAACACUUACAAAGAGAAAAGGGACAACAGGGCCAAGUGGUCCUCCCUCCCAGCUCCUGCACACGGCCAUGCUCUCCCUAAGCUUUUACAGUAUCUGAGUAUGGGGUUCCCCUUACUUUUUUUGCUAUUGUUUUGUUUGAGGUUUUUAAAUAGAGCCAUAUUAUACUACCCA